rnacentral:tmRNA from 2 species
GGGGGCGAAACGGAUUCGACGGGGAUAUGUAAGCUCUACGUUGCAUGCCGAGCUUCUGUCUGCUCGUAAAACUGAUAGAACUUUAAUUAUAAUCGCCGACGAUUAUAACUACGCAGUAGCAGCUUAGUCUGCUCUGCCGUUCCCCCGGUCUCUGCCCGCAAGACUGGAUCGGAGCGCCGACUCUGUGGGCUGGUCCUCUGGCAGCACCUGUUUGCUAGAAGAUGAGAACCAAGCAGGUUAGCAAUAGAAUAUCUAAGCUCCGGCGGAGCUUCUGGCGCGAAAAUUAAAGCCCGGAACUAAGCAUGUAGAUACGGGAGGGGAGUAUUUUCGGACGCGGGUUCGACUCCCGCCGCCUCCACCA